CACGUAGGGGCCAAGCGUUGUCCGGAUUUAUUGGGCGUAAAGAGCUCGUAGGCGGCUUGUCGCGUCGACUGUGAAAACCCGUGGCUCAACCAUGUGGUCUGCAGUCGAUACGGGCAGGCUAGAAUUCGGUAGGGGAGACUGGAAUUCCUGGUGUAGCGGUGAAAUGCGCAGAUAUCAGGAGGAACACCGGUGGCGAAGGCGGGUCUCUGGGCCGAUAUUGACGCUGAGGAGCGAAAGCGUGGGGAGCGAACAGG
rnacentral:rRNA from 1 species